UACUCUCGAGCGGUAAGUCCGCUACAGGUUGUUCUAGGUGUUCCCCUCCAUCGGUGGGCCAAAGCCUAGACGCCAAAAACCUGUAGGGCACGCUCGUUUU
rnacentral:sRNA from 12 species